GUUAUUUUUUUUUUUUUCUUAUGGACGUUCCAGAAGGGAUCUUUUCAUCUUUCACGUACUAACUUAAACAAAUAACAAUCCAGUAGCACUUAACAUUAAAAAUGUUAGAAUAAUUGGCAAAGCAAAGCUGCUAAUACAAGGCUCAAACUGAAGUAUAUUAUUAUGGUAAUUAAUAAAACGAUAAAUUGAAGCAAAUAAAAAUAAUAACAAAACGAAAUCAGGAUGAACAAAAAGGUAGGUGGAAGACCGCCAUCUCAUAUUCGAGCAACAUAAGAAUUGGCCUGUGUGACAUAUCUCACCCAUCGAUAAGGGUUAUAGGUAUUAGACUUCUUUGCUAUCUGCAAGUAUUUCACCUGAAGCCUAGA
rnacentral:misc_RNA from 1 species